rnacentral:rRNA from 1 species
UACGAAGGGGGCUAGCGUUGUUCGGAAUUACUGGGCGUAAAGCGCGUGUAGGCUGCUUCGCAAGUCGGAUGUGCAAGCCCUGGGCUCAACCCAGGAAGUGCAUUCGAAACUGCAGAGCUGGAGUCCUGGAGAGGAAGGCGGAAUUCUCGGUGUAGAGGUGAAAUUCGUAGAUAUCGAGAGGAACACCGGUGGCGAAGGCGGCCUUCUGGACAGUGACUGACGCUGAGACGCGAAAGCGUGGGGAGCAAACAGG